UCCCUGGUGGCUCAGAUGGUAAAGAAUCUGCCUGCAAUGCAGGAGACCUGGGUUUGAGCCCUGGUCAGGAAG
rnacentral:tRNA from 1 species